GCAGAUCCAUCUAAGAUCACAUCUGCGUUGAAUUAGGCCCAAGACAUAGGUAUAAAAGGUGGGAUAACUGACAAAUUAAGGAACUAAAUUUCAUGAACAAGUAAUUGAUACAGGAAUGAAAACCCAUCAUCAGAGCUCUUGGAGAAGCUGAAGGAGAAGAUUUUCUUCAGUCAACUCUACUACCCUGUGUCAAGAAUCAAAGCUAGUUGCUUAAUCCCAAUCCAAAGAGAUUUUCAAAAACUUUACACCACAGACAACCAAUCCAACACAGUCCGGGCAAAAGGCCCUGUGCUGGACUGUCAGCGUAUGGAAGGACAGAAUGUUAAUUAUUCAUUCUGUUUUAAUAGCUAUCACUUUUUGUUUGCUGUGUUGAUUAAAAGUAUAAAGCUACUUGGUUUUGCUUAUGAAGAUGAAAUGGAACUAAAAGAUUAUUUGUUAGUUCUGGAUAUUGUUUACUGGCCUAUGUUUAGCCUGAGAACAAAAUAGGAAUUUAGAGAUAGAAUUAGGGUUCUAAACUGAAUUUUAAAGCCUAAUGAGAGGGUUCUGGUAGCUUUGAAUAAAAGGACAACAAUGGCAUUAUUC